AUUGCCCCAGUAACGGCGAGUGAAGCGGCAACAGCUCAAAUUUGAAAUCUGGUCCCCAGGGCCCGAGUUGUAAUUUGCAGAGGAUGCUUUUGGUGAGGUGCCUUCCGAGUUCCCUGGAACGGGACGCCAUAGAGGGUGAGAGCCCCGUCUGGUUGGAUACCGAGCCUCUGUAAAGCUCCUUCGACGAGUCGAGUAGUUUGGGAAUGCUGCUCUAAAUGGGAGGUAUAUGUCUUCUAAAGCUAAAUAUUGGCCAGAGACCGAUAGCGCACAAGUAGAGUGAUCGAAAGAUGAAAAGCACUUUGAAAAGAGGGUUAAAUAGUACGUGAAAUUGUUGAAAGGGAAGCACUUAUGACCAGACUUGGCCCCGGUGAAUCAUCCAGCGGUUCCCGUUGGUGCACUUUGCCGGGGUUCAGGCCAGCAUCAGUUCGCUCCGGGGGAUAAAGGCUUUGGGAAUGUGGCUCCCUCGGGAGUGUUAUAGCCCAUUGCGCAAUACCCUGUGGCGGGCUGAGGUUCGCGCUUUAUGCAAGGAUGCUGGCAUAAUGGUCAUCAGUGACCCGUCUUGAAACACGGACCAAGGAGUCGUCUUCGUAUGCGAGUGUUCGGGUGUUAAACCCCUACGCGUAAUGAAAGUGAACGCAGGUGAGAGCCCUCCAGGGCGCAUCAUCGACCGAUCCUGAUGUUCUCGGAUGGAUUUGAGUAAGAGCAUACGGGGCCGGACCCGAAAGAAGGUGAACUAUGCCUGUAUAGGGUGAAGCCAGAGGAAACUCUGGUGGAGGCUCGCAGCGGUUCUGACGUGCAAAUCGAUCGUCAAAUAUGGGCAUGGGGGCGAAAGACUAAUCGA
rnacentral:rRNA from 1 species